rnacentral:tRNA from 1 species
UGGGCAUAGUAUAAUGGUAGUGCGUUCGUCUUCCAAAUGAAGUGUGUCGAUUCAAAUUCGGCUGCCCGUAA